rnacentral:rRNA from 1 species
GACGAACCGUGCGAACGUUGUUCGGAAUCACUGGGCUUAAAGGGCGCGUAGGCGGGCUGUCAAGUCUGGGGUGAAAUACCGCGGCUCAACCGUGGAACUGCCUCAGAUACUGACGGCCUCGAGGGAGGUAGGGGCGUGCGGAACUGUAGGUGGAGCGGUGAAAUGCGUAGAUAUCUGGAGGAACACCGGUGGCGAAGGCGGCAUCCUGGACCAACACUGACGCUGAGUGAGCGAAAGCCAGGGGAGCAAACGGG